rnacentral:pre_miRNA from 1 species
AGGAGGAACAGCCCCAGUGGCGGGGCAGCUCUGGAGCCCUGGAGUCAGCCCCCGCGGUAACCCCGGAGCUCUCCGUCUGCAGGGCCUGGAGGCUCCGGGGCGGG